GACGAACGCUGGCGGCGUGCUUAACACAUGCAAGUCGAACGGAAAGGCCCUGCUUUUGUGGGGUGCUCGAGUGGCGAACGGGUGAGUAACACGUGAGUAACCUGCCCUUGACUUUGGGAUAACUUCAGGAAACUGGGGCUAAUACCGGAUAUGAUCUCCUGCUGCAUGGUGGUGGUUGGAAAGUUUCGGCGGUUGGGGAUGGACUCGCGGCUUAUCAGCUUGUUGGUGGGGUAGUGGCUUACCAAGGGUUUGACGGGUAGCCGGCCUGAGAGGGUGACCGGCCACAUUGGGACUGAGAUACGGCCCAGACUCCUACGGGAGGCAGCAGUGGGGAAUAUUGCACAAUGGGCGGAAGCCUGAUGCAGCAACGCCGCGUGCGGGAUGACGGCCUUCGGGUUGUAAACCGCUUUCGCCUGUGACGAAGCGUGAGUGACGGUAAUGGGUAAAGAAGCACCGGCUAACUACGUG
rnacentral:rRNA from 1 species